AAUAGCUCAGUGGAAUUCUUCAAUGUCAAAGAUCUAGUUUGUUUACAGAUCUACUUCUAUAAUAAAAUAAUUUCCUUAUAUGCCUUUUUUAUUUUGCUAAAUGUAUUGGUUUUAGGUGGAGGUUUUCCUAACAAGACAGGGAAGUGGGAAACAUGGAAAAGAGGAAAAGGCUACGAUGACAAUUCAUCGAGACAUUCUGCCUAAUAUUUCAAAGGAGUAAUGAAUUAAGCUGAAUGUGAUCACGAGGAUAUGUGAUAACCGAAACUUUCAGUCUUCCAAAAAAAUGCAGCAUUUGCAGGACUUCAACUCUGGAGACUGGAGAUCCUGGAACAGUUCUUGAAAAUAUUUGCAUUUAUCAUGCUUUUUGGAAAGAAAACAC